GACGAACCGUGCGAACGUUGUUCGGAAUCACUGGGCUUAAAGGGCGCGUAGGCGGGCUGCCAAGUCUGGGGUGAAAUCCUCCGGCUCAACCGGAGAACGGCCUCGGAUACUGGCGGUCUCGAGGGAGGUAGGGGCGUGCGGAACUAAGGGUGGAGCGGUGAAAUGCGUUGAUAUCCUUAGGAACUCCGGUGGCGAAGGCGGCACGCUGGACCUUUUCUGACGCUGAGGCGCGAAGGCCAGGGGAGCAAACGGG
rnacentral:rRNA from 1 species